rnacentral:lncRNA from 10 species
GUCAGAGGGAGGAAGGGAGUCAGACAGAGGAAGGCAAUAUGAACACAAAAAUAGAGUCAGUAAAGGAGAUAAAACACUACGCUGCUGGUUUUGAAGAUAGAUAAAGGAUCACAAUUCAAAUAAUAGAAUUUGGCAAAGGCAAGGAAACAGGGCCCAUCCUAGAACCUCCAGAAGUAACCAGCUCUACUGACAGUCUGAUUUCAGCCAAAUGAGAAUGAUGUUGGACUUCUGCCCCCGAGACCGAGAAACAGAAGUGAGAAAGAUAUUGUAGUGGCCACAAGGAUGCAACAAACAGAUCUCCAAAUUUGAAGAGCAUAAUUGACUGAGAACUCUGGCUACUGCAUUCUGAGAUCCAAGCCUCGAUAAACCUCAUCCCAACUCCUUCUCAGUCUGAAGUCCCAACAGUAGCCACAGUUGGUGCCUGAUUUUCCUAAAUCCCUCAAAACUAAGGAGAGUGUAUUGAAUAAUAUUCAAGAAAAAUAUGAUGAAUGAUAAGAGAAUAGGAUUUAGAAUUAAAAUUCUAGGAAAGAUAAAAUCUAAAGAGCAUGGCAGUCAGAGGAGGAAACUAAGGAGGAAGACAACAGAAAUAACAGCGUCAAAGAAUUCAAGAGAAGAGAAAGAUUUGGGAAGAAGUCGUGGUCAAAUGUGUCACAUGCCAGAGAAAUACAAUCAGAUAAGGAAUAUGAAACCACUGGAUUAAGUGUUGUAUCACUGAGAAGCAAGAAUAAAACUGUAGUAUUUUGACACACGGAAGAAAGUGAUGAAAAUUACUGGAGUUUACAUGUGCAUAAUACAUGAUACUAGGUGUAUUAGUCUGUUCUUACACUGCUAAUAAAGACAUACCCCAGACUGCGUAAUUGAUAAAGAAAAAGAGAUUUAAUGGACUCACAGUUCCUCAUGGCUGGGGAGGCCUCACAAUCUUGGCAAAAGACAGAUGAGGAGCAAAGGCACAUUUACGUGGCAGCAGUCAAGAUAAUGUGUGCAGGAGAGCUGCCCUUUAUAAAACCAUCAGAUCUCAUGAGACUUAUUCCCUAUCAUGAGAACAGCAUGGGAAAAACUGAUUUUUUCAGUUCAAUUUAAAAAAAUCAUGAUUCAAUUUACCCAUGAUUCAAUGACCUCCCACUGGGUCCCUCCCAAGACACAUGGGGAUUAUGGGAGCUACAAUUCAAGAUAAAGUUUGGGUGGGAACACAGCCAAACCAUAUCAGUAGGUAUGAUCAAAUCAUGAAAUGUUACUUGUUUCAGAAUAUAUUCUAUUGCAUCCUGCUCCUGCAAGUCCAAAAGUACAAGAACACAUGUUUAGUCCUAAUUCAGAGAAAUGAAAUGAAUAAAUCCACAUGGAAUACAUUAUAUAACAUAUACACUUAUAUGUUUUAUAUUUAUAUAUACAAUGGAGGUUAUAUUAGACUUCUGCAAAAAAUGUUUGUUGCUUCAAUAAGAAAAACUUUUUGUUGCAAUUUUUAUAAGGAAAAAGUAAUAUGUAUUACUUAUUAGUUGAUGUUGCAAAGCUGAUGCUUAACACCACAGUCUUUUCUUUUUUCAUAAUCAUUAUGACAGCAUGUUUUGAACACCCUGCAUAGGAGAAUCACCAAGACCAAUAGCAGGCUAUGCAGGAGUGAGAGAUAGAUAAACUUUUGUUGUAGUCCAGUAACCAAAAGAUAGGGUUAUUUAUAAUCUAUAUCAUCUUAAUUCAUAUAAGGUCACAGAUUAAAAGAAACAAAUAUUUUAUCCUCCCUUCUACCUUGAAUUAGACCAUAUAAUAAUGUGCAUCAGAUAUUAAAGAGCUGCUUUUAUAUUAAAGUGAUACUUUGGCUUGCUUUCUUACUUCCCUUUUAUGCUCUCUCAAUGUUCUAGGAAAUAAAGUUGCCCCUAUCUGCUUACAAAGACAGCCAGUUAGUUCUCACUUCCUCUAAAAGUGCAUUCUCUAAUGGGAUCUAAUUAAACUAAAGAGCUUCUGCACAGCAAAAGAAACUACCAUCAAAGUGAACAGGCAACCCACAAAAUGGGAGAAAAUUUUCGCAACCUACUCAUCUGACAAAGGGCUAAUAUCCAGAAUCUACAAUGAACUCAAACAAAUUUACAAGGAAAAAACAAACAACCCCAUCAAGAAGUGGGCGAAGGACAUGAACAGACACUCUCAAAAGAAGACAUUUAUGCAGCCAAAAAACACAUGAAAAAAUGCUCACCAUCACUGGCCAUCAGAGAAAUGCAAAUCAAAACCACAAUGAGAUAUCAUCUCACACCAGUUAGAAUGGCAAUCAUUAAAAAGUCAGGAAACAACAGGUGCUGGAGAGGAUGUGGAGAAAUAGGGACACUUUACACUGUUGGUGGGACUGUCAACUUGUUCAACCAUUGUGGAAGUCAGUGUGGUGAUUCCUCAAGGAUCUAGAACUAGAAAUACCAUUUGACCCAGCCAUCCCAUUCCUGGGUAUAUACUGAAAGGACUAUAAAUCAUGCUGCUAUAAAGACACAUGCACAUGUAUGUUUAUUGUGGCACUAUUCACAAUAGCAAAGACUUGGAACCAACCCAAAUGUCCAACAAUGAUAGACUGGAUUAAGAAAAUGUGGCACAUAUACACCAUGGAAUAUUAUGCAGCCAUAAAAAAUGAUGAGUUCAUGUCUUUGUAGGGACAUGGAUGAAGUUGGAAAUCAUCAUUCUCAGUAAACUAUCGCAAGAACAAAAAGCCAAACACCACAUAUUCUCACUCAUAGGUGGGAAUUGAACAAUGAGAACACAUGGACACAGGAAGGGGAACA